CCUACGGGGGGCAGCAGUGAGGAAUAUUGGUCAAUGGCCGAGAGGCUGAACCAGCCAAGUCGCGUGAGGGAAGACGGCCCUACGGGUUGUAAACCUCUUUUGUCGGGGAGCAAAGCGCGGCACGUGUGACUCCUUGAGAGUACCCGGAGAAAAAGCAUCGGCUAACUCCGUGCCAGCAGCCGCGGUAAUACGGAGGAGGCGAGCGUUAUCCGGAUUUAUUGGGUUAAAAGGGUGCGCAGGCGGGGGGGCAAGUCUGCGGUCAAAUGGCGGGGCUCAACCCCGUACUGCCGUUGAAACUGCAGACCUAGAGUGUGCGAGAAGUAUGCGGAAUGCGUGGUGUAGCGGUGAAAUGCGUAGAUAUCACGCAGAACUCCGAUGGCGAAGGCAGCAUACCGGCG
rnacentral:rRNA from 1 species